rnacentral:rRNA from 1 species
GAUGAACGCUGGCGGCGUGCCUAAUACAUGCAAGUCGAGCGAACGGACGAGAAGCUUGCUUCUCUGAUGUUAGCGGCGGACGGGUGAGUAACACGUGGAUAACCUACCUAUAAGACUGGGAUAACUUCGGGAAACCGGAGCUAAUACCGGAUGAUAUUUUGAACCGCAUGGUUCAAAAGUGAAAGACGGUCUUGCUGUCACUUAUAGAUGGAUCCGCGCUGCAUUAGCUAGUUGGUAAGGUAACGGCUUACCAAGGCAACGAUGCAUAGCCGACCUGAGAGGGUGAUCGGCCACACUGGAACUGAGACACGGUCCAGACUCCUACGGGAGGCAGCAGUAGGGAAUCUUCCGCAAUGGUCGAAAGCCUGACGGAGCAACGCCGCGUGAGUGAUGAAGGUCUUCGGAUCGUAAAACUCUGUUAUUAGGGAAGAACAUAUGUGUAAGUAACUGUGCACAUCUUGAUGGUACCUAAUCAGAAAGCCACGGCUAACUACGUG